CUCAUAUUCAGAGGUUAGCGUCGCUGCGCGACGCACGCAUCCUGAUUUGCUCUAGAGAAGAUGGUAACAUAUCCUUUCCCUACAAGAAAUUGUUAGCUGUUGACCGGCCAAGCGACUAAUAGAAUAAAAAAUUGAAAACCCGAACCUUCUCCUGAAGUUGGUUGCAGUUGCACAACUGUUGGUCUUCUAGUAACGACUCCAGAUCCACGAGGCAGAAAGUCCCUGGAAAAGAAGGGGAAAGGAACAGUUUUAUUCUUCAGACAACUUGACUGACGCCAUUUUGAAAUCUUUCCACGUCUUUUCGAGUCUUUCAACCCAUUUUAGCUUGGGGACGAGUUCCCGCCAACGGACAGUCUAAUCCCAUUGGCUACUGCCCAGUGACAUUGUUUCCUCCGCCUUACGUCACACAACGAGUGAGAUAGCGUUGAAGGACACAGAGUGGAAUUGCAACCCCUUUUCAGCUUUGCUUCACGA